GAAAAAGAUUUAAUAAGCAUUAAAAUAAUGCAAUGCAUGCAUGCAAUAUUAGAAAUCCUACUAUUUUCAUGCAACACAAUGCCACAGAUCAGAAAAAUAUCUAUAAAAUACUACUGACUCAAUAAAGCCACCUGCUGGAAUACCUAAGAACAUUCUGCAAGUAAAAAAUCUCAUUUUGAUUUGUCUUGACACUCUGAACCACUUCAUGAAAAAUGCCAUCUAUGAAGCAGAUAAACACACACGCUGAAGUACGCUGGAGCUUGUAUUAACCACCCCGGGAUGCAACAAUUCCAAGUAAAGCAGCAUUUGAAUUAGAAACUAUACAGUGGUGUUCUAGGGAAUUACAACCUGUCAGUGGCAUCCAAUACAACCAAACAGUAUUUCAUAACAAAAGACAGCAUGUCGCUACAAUAGUUUACUGUAUUAUCAAUAGCUACAGCCAAUUGGAAUUGAUUUUAUGAAUAUGUUUUAUAAUCAGUUCCACAACUAUGUACACAGGACUGGGAGUUUACAGAUGAAUGCAACAAAACUGAACAAGUGUUUAAAUGCAUAAAUGUAUUUGAUUAAGUAUUCAGAAAAGAGACACCACACAAUAUAUGUUUAGAAUACAUAAAUCACAUCUAAAAGUAAUGGAUAACUGUGCCUCCGAGAACUGGCUAAACACUAAAUUUUAGAAAUCACAAUUACCUGUAUAUUUUUCAAAAUUCUUAAGCUGGUAUGAUGCAUACCGUAGAGAAAUUUGUUUGGAAGAAUCAUUUUAAAAAUAUGUCUCUCCAAGUUGUAUGAAUUACUCUUAAUACAGUAUGACAACUAACCCAUACUAAUAAUUUGUCCAUCUCUUCUAGAAAAAAAAGUCACCAUUCCACUCAUCAACUGUUUUCAUCUUUGAGCACUAAUGUUUUGCAUUUCACAGUAGCUUUAUUCAAAGAAAAUUCAGCUGUUUACCUUCAUGAAAACAAUUAAAAUAUGAAAAUGAAAAGACACGCCAUCAAUCUGAAAAACAUCAUCAUGGAAUCACUCCCUGUGAGGGAACUGGCAACAAGUGGAAAGCUGCAAGGAGGAAUUAAAAAGACUGGCAAAUAAGAAGGACCUAAAUAUUCAACGAUCAGAUUUCACAAAAUGCAUAACUUCAUCAGGCCUUCGCUAUUCAUUUUGAAAUGGUAUCAUAAAGCAGUAAGAGUGGGCUAUGGAAUAAACAAAAUCUAAA